rnacentral:rRNA from 1 species
AAGGAGGGGAUCGCAAGACCUUUCGCUUUCGGAGUGGCCGAUAUCGGAUUAGCUAGUUGGUGAGGUAAAGGCUCACCAAGGCGACGAUCCGUAGCUGGUCUGAGAGGACGACCAGCCACACUGGAACUGAGACACGGUCCAGACUCCUACGGGAGGCAGCAGUGGGGAAUUUUGGACAAUGGGGGCAACCCUGAUCCAGCCAUGCCGCGUGAGUGAAGAAGGCCUUCGGGUUGUAAAGCUCUUUCAGACGGAAAGAAACGGUUACGGCUAAUACCCGUGACUAAUGACGGUACCGUCAGAAGAAGCACCGGCUAACUACGUGCCAGCAGCCGCGGUAAUACGUAGGGUGCGAGCGUUAAUCGGAAUUACUGGGCGUAAAGCGUGCGCAGGCGGUUUUGUAAGACAGACGUGAAAUCCCCGGGCUUAACCUGGGAACUGCGUUUGUGACUGCAAGACUAGAGUACGGCAGAGGGGGGUAGAAUUCCACGUGUAGCAGUGAAAUGCGUAGAUAUGUGGAGGAAUACCGAUAGCGAAGGCAGCCCCCUGGGUCGAUACUGACGCUCAUGCACGAAAGCGUGGGGAGCAAACAGGAUUAGAUACCCUGGUAGUCCACGCCCUAAACGAUGUCAACUAGGUGUUGGGGAAGGAGACUUCUUUAGUACCGCAGCUAACGCGAUAAGUUGACCGCCUGGGGAGUACGGUCGCAAGAUUAAAACUCAAAGGAAUUGACGG